UACCCCAGUGUGACUAUCGGGAGCAGUGAAAUCUGCUGGAGAGAAGCCACAUGUACAUUUUUCUCAGUAAAAUGAUGACAAGAGAUCAAUUAAGGAGAAAGAAGAAUGUUAAUCCAACAUGGAAAAGGCCCACCCUAAUUGAAGAAUGGUGAACAGGAUUCUGGUCAAUGAAUUAUAGCCUCAUUUUAAAAUUCACUCAUCCAUUUGAUAAUUAAUUAUAAUGGCAUCUUACAUAAUCAUCAGAGGCUUUCUCUGAAAAAUACAUGGAGAGUUUUGUGCUAUCAUCACCAGAGCCAGCAAUUCAACCUAAAUUCUGAGUGUAAUGGAAGCCGUUAAUCACUAUCAAGUUCAUCAUUUUUUUUUCAUGGCAAGUAAUAUUCAUAUCAGUGAUUGCUAUUCCACUAAGAAAUUCUAAAUGUUUCAUAAAAAUGAAACACCACAUAAUAAGAGACUAAAUCAUAUGAAACAAAAUUUUGACUUUUGAAUGUAUCACUCAAGGCCAAUGGAUGAUAAUUUCUCUUUAUGAUUCUACAGGUAGCUCAUUUAUUUCUUUUCUCAUAUAUUUGACUUAUUAUAGGGCCCUGCAGCCCUUUCUGAGCAUCAUUAACUAUAUUUGUCGAAUCAUUAAUCUAAAAAUUAAAAGCUAUUUAAUACUUUUGUUUCAUCUGCUUAACUAAUUACACAGAAAUAAACCAAUUUUUCUAUUACUUUUCUCGGUGCCUUCUGCAUUUAUACAGCCUUAAUGCAUUGUGCAUAUGUAUAGGUCUUUCUCUUAACCCAAACCCCUGCUGUUGUUCUUUCUGCACACAUGUUAAUGACUCAUGAUCACUAUGACCUCACUAAUCUUUUACAUCUUCUACUCUAAUGACCUUGAUCAAUUCAUUCACUAUACAGAGCUUGUUGUCAUUUGGCUUUGAC
rnacentral:lncRNA from 1 species